rnacentral:rRNA from 1 species
UACGUAGGUGGCAAGCGUUUGUCCGGAUUUACUGGGCGUAAAGGGCGUGCAGGCGGUCUGUUUAGUCUAGGGUGAAAGCUCCCGGCUCAACUGGGAGAGGUCCUUGGAUACUGGCAGACUUGAGGGAGGCAGAGGAAAGUGGAAUUCCCGGUGUAGUGGUGAUAUGCGUAGAUAUCGGGAGGAACACCAGUGGCGAAGGCGGCUUUCUGGGCCUUACCUGACGCUGAGACGACGAAGCGUGGGGAGCGAACCGG